CUCGUUUCUCCGCCUUUUGGCUAAGAUCAAGUGUAGUAUCUAUUCUUAUCAGUUUAAUAUCUGAUAUGUCCUCGAGGAGUGGACUUAAUAAUAAACAGAUUUUGGGGCCUGGGAGUUUAACCCAGAGCUUGCUCCCUCCACUUUGAAUUUUAUUUUUUAUUUUUUUUUGUCCAAGAAGGCCAAC
rnacentral:snRNA from 1 species